rnacentral:rRNA from 1 species
AGCAGCCGCGGUAAUUCCAGCUCCAAUAGCGUAUAUUAAAGUUGUUGCAGUUAAAAAGCUCGUAGUUGAAUUUCGGGAUCAUCAGGUUGGUCGUGCCUUUGGUAUGUACUGAUUUCGAUGGUUCCUCCUUCUUGUAGAACCGUAAUGCCAUUAAUUUGGUGUUGCGGGAAAACAGGACUGUUACUUUGAAAAAAUUAGAGUGUUUAAAGCAGGCAAUCGCUUGAAUACAUUAGCAUGGAAUAAUGAAAUAGGACGUUUGAUCUUAUUUUGUUGGUUUCUAGGAUUGACGUAAUGAUUAAUAGGGAUAGUUGGG